rnacentral:rRNA from 1 species
UACGGAGGGUGCAAGCGUUGUUCGGAAUUACUGGGCGUAAAGCGCGUGUAGGCGGCUCGCUAAGUCCGAUGUGAAAUCCCGGGGCUCACCCCCGGAAGUGCAUCGGAUACUGGUGGGCUAGAGUACCGGAGAGGAGGACGGAAUUCCUGGUGUAGCGGUGAAAUGCGUAGAUAUCAGGAGGAACACCGGUGGCGAAGGCGGGUCUCUGGGCCGAUACUGACGCUGAGGAGCGAAAGCGUGGGGAGCGAACAGG